rnacentral:rRNA from 1 species
UACGGGAAGGCAGCAGUGGGGAAUAUUGCACAAUGGGCGAAAGCCUGAUGCAGCUAUGCCGCGUGUAUGAAGAAGGCCUUAGGGUUGUAAAGUACUUUCAUCGGGGAGGAAAAACAAAACUAAUAAUUUUAUUUCUUGACGUUACCCGAAAAAGAAGCACCGGCUAACUCCGUGCCAGCAGCCGCGGUAAUACGGAGGGUGCUAGCGUUAAUCAGAAUUACUGGGCGUAAAGAGCACGUAGGUGGUUUUUUUAAGUCAGAUGUGAAAUCCCUGGGCUUAACCUAGGAACUGCAUUUUGAAACUGAAAUACUAGAGUAUCGUAGAGGGAGGUAGAAUUCUAGGUGUAGCGGUGAAAUGCGUAGAUAUCUGGAGGAAUACCUGUGGCGAAAGCGGCCUCCUAAACGAAUACUGACACUGAGGUGCGAAAGCGUGGGGA